UACGAAGGGGGCUAGCGUUGUUCGGAAUUACUGGGCGUAAAGGGCGCGUAGGCGGUUUGCUAAGUUGGAUGUGAAAACUCUGGGCUUAACCCAGAGCCUGCAUCCAAAACUAGCAGGCUAGAGUUCUGGAGGGGAUAGCGGAAUUCCUGGUGUAGCGGUGAAAUGCGUAGAUAUCAGGAGGAACACCGGUGGCGAAGGCGGCUAUCUGGACAGAAACUGACGCUGAGGCGCGAAAGCUAGGGGAGCAAACAGG
rnacentral:rRNA from 1 species